CUUAUAUCAAAGUAUAUUUGAAACGUGGAGGUUAAGCUGGUUGACCUGGUCUGAGGAUCCUGUCUUUCUACUUGGUGUUGCUGGUAACACUUUCAGUGUUCAUUAGGAGAACUGACACAAUGAAUCAGAAGCAAAGAGAGAAAACACAGAGAACAUUGACCUGCUGCAGAAAAAGCCCCUAAAACACUCCUGCUCAUCAUGGGAAGUAAUGGAGCAAGACAGCCGCAGCAUGAACUUGCUUGGCCUUCGUAUGAGAGUCAAGACAUAAAUUGGACCAUAAAUUGGCCUCUGUCAGAAUCUACAUCGGAAUGACACCAAAUACAUGUCAUCGGGCUUGUGUUCCAGCUAACAGCAGGAAUCCACUGGUGCUUGUCAUCUUGAUCAAAUGUUCACCUCACUCCCUUUUCCAGCUCAUGC
rnacentral:lncRNA from 1 species